rnacentral:rRNA from 1 species
UACGAGGGGGGCAAGCGUUGUUCGGAAUUAUUGGGCGUAAAGGGUGCGUAGGCGGUUUUGUAAGUCUUGUGUGAAAUCUUCAGGCUCAACUUGAAGACUGCACGAGAAACUGCAGGGCUUGAGUGUGGGAGAGGUGAGUGGAAUUCCCGGUGUAGUGGUGAAAUGCGUAGAUAUCGGGAGGAACACCAGUGGCGAAGGCGACUAUCUGGGCUGCAACUGACGCUGAGGCGCGAAGGCUAGGGUAGCAAACAGG